rnacentral:rRNA from 1 species
AGUGAACGCUGGCGGUAGGCCUAACACAUGCAAGUCGAACGGCAGCACAGUAAGAGCUUGCUCUUACGGGUGGCGAGUGGCGGACGGGUGAGGAAUACAUCGGAAUCUACUUUUUCGUGGGGGAUAACGUAGGGAAACUUACGCUAAUACCGCAUACGACCUACGGGUGAAAGCAGGGGAUCUUCGGACCUUGCGCGAUUGAAUGAGCCGAUGUCGGAUUAGCUAGUUGGCGGGGUAAAGGCCCACCAAGGCGACGAUCCGUAGCUGGUCUGAGAGGAUGAUCAGCCACACUGGAACUGAGACACGGUCCAGAUUCCUACGGGAGGCAGCAGUGGGGAAUAUUGGACAAUGGGCGCAAGCCUGAUCCAGCCAUACCGCGUGGGUGAAGAAGGCCUUCGGGUUGUAAAGCCCUUUUGUUGGGAAAGAAAAGCAGCAGGUUAAUACCCAGCUGUUCUGACGGUACCCGAAGAAUAAGCACCGGCUAACUUCGUG